rnacentral:rRNA from 1 species
UAGAAAUACGUGGCAAACGGCUCAGUAACACGUAGUCAACAUGCCCAGGGGACGUGGAUAACCUCGGGAAACUGAGGAUAAACCGCGAUAGGCCAUGAUUUCUGGAAUGGUUCAUGGCCGAAAUCUAUAUGGCCCCUGGAUUGGACUGCGGCCGAUCAGGCUGUUGGUGAGGUAAUGGCCCACCAAACCUGUAACCGGUACGGGCUCUGAGAGGAGGAGCCCGGAGAUGGGCACUGAGACAAGGGCCCAGGCCCUAUGGGGCGCAGCAGGCGCGAAAUCUCUGCAAUAGGCGAAAGCUUGACAGGGUUACUCUGAGUGAUUCCCGCUAAGGGGAUCUUUUGGCACCUUUAAAAAUGGUGCAGAAUAAGGGGUGGGCAAGUCUGGUGUCAGCCGCCGCGGUAAUACCAGCACCCCGAGUGGUCGGGACGAUUAUUGGGCCUAAAGCAUCCGUAGCCGGUACUGCAAGUCUUCCGUUAAAUCCACCUGCUUAACAGUUGGGCUGCGGGGGAUACUACAGCGCUAGGAGGCGGGAGAGGCAAGCGGUACUCAAUGGGUAGGGGUAAAAUCCGCUGAUCCAUUGAAGACCACCAGUGGCGAAGGCGGCUUGCCAGAACGCGCUCGACGGUGAGGGAUGAAAGCUGGGGGAGCAAACCGGAUUAGAUACCCGGGUAGUCCCAGCUGUAAACGAUGCAGACUCGGUGAUGGGCUGGCCUUGUGCCAACCCAGUGCCGCAGGGAAGCCGUUAAGUCUGCCGCCUGGGGAGUACGGUCGCAAGACUGAAACUUAAAGGAAUUGGCGGGGGAGCACCACAAGGGGUGAAGCCUGCGGUUCAAUUGGAGUCAACGCCGGG